GGACAUACCAAAGGACCCCCAGAAUCACCCUGAGGUUGGGAAGAAAGGUUUAUUAGUUUAGGCUUGAAUAAGAAGCUAUUUUCCUCCCUAGAUUCCAAGCCCACUUUCUCCAGGAUACCCUUUUCCUGCCGUGGCAGAUGAACAAAGUAGGAAUUAGUCUUUCAAGUCUCCCCAGUUCUCCAGUCCACCCACCCAAAAUAGAAAUUAUAGAAACUGGAAGGGCCCUUAGAACCCACUGAGUCCUUUCACCUGAAAAGAUGAAACUGUACUUCAAAUGACUUGCUGAAGAUCUCACAUGACCUACCUGAACUUAUCCAAAGAUCUUUUUCACCUGGGAAGAAAAGGACAGGAUGGCUAGUGAACCCAGGGGCCCUGAGGAUGACACCGGCUUCGAACCUUGAGAAGCAGUGAGCUGCGGUUAGCACCCACUGGCGAGAGAUGAGCGAGG